rfam:Ovis aries breed Texel chromosome 16, whole genome shotgun sequence.
UCCCUGGUGGCUCAGACGGUAAAGCGUCUGCCUGCAAUGCGGGAGACCUGGGUUCGAUUCCUGGAUUGGGAA